rnacentral:rRNA from 1 species
AUUGAACGCUGGCGGCAGGCUUAACACAUGCAAGUCGAGCGGGGUGAUGGUGCUUGCACUAUCACUUAGCGGCGGACGGGUGAGUAAUGCUUAGGAAUCUGCCUAUUAGUGGGGGACAACAUCUCGAAAGGGAUGCUAAUACCGCAUACGUCCUACGGGAGAAAGCAGGGGACCACUUGUGACCUUGCGCUAAUAGAUGAGCCUAAGUCGGAUUAGCUAGUUGGUGGGGUAAAGGCCUACCAAGGCGACGAUCUGUAGCGGGUCUGAGAGGAUGAUCAGCCACACUGGGACUGAGACACGGCCCAGACUCCUACGGGAGGCAGCAGUGGGGAAGAUUGGGCAAUGGGGGGAACCCUGAUCCAGCCAUGCCGCGUGUGUGAAGAAGGCCUUAUGGUUGUAAAGCACUUUAAGCGAGGAGGAGGCUCUUUUGGUUAAUACCCAAGAUGAGUGGACGUUACUCGCAGAAUAAGCACCGGCUAACUCUGUGCCAGCCGCCGCGGUAA